rnacentral:tRNA from 1 species
GGAGAGAUGGCCGAGGGGUCUAAAGCGUCGGAUUGCUAAUCCGUUGUACAAUUCGAUUGUACCGAGGGUUCGAAUCCCUCUCUCUCCU